CCUACGGGAGGCAGCAGUGAGGAAUAUUGGUCAAUGGGCGGGAGCCUGAACCAGCCAAGUCGCGUGAGGGAAGACGGUCCUAUGGAUUGUAAACCUCUUUAGGCGGGGAGCAAUGCCGGGCACGCGUGCACGGAGGGAGAGUACCCGCAGACUAAGCAUCGGCGAACUCCGUGCCAGCAGCCGCGGUAAUACGGAGGAUGCGAGCGUUAUCUGGAUUUAUUGGGGUAAAAGGGUGCGUAGGCGGAUUUUUAAGUCAGCGGUAAAAUGUCCGGGCUCAACCCGGGCCGGCCGUUGCAACUGGGGAUCUUGAGUGGGCGAGAGGUAUGCGGAA
rnacentral:rRNA from 1 species